AUUUCAUAAUGGUGGAUCCAUGGGAGGCACGGACCAUAUGCAGAGAGUAUGGCAUGGUUUCAAUUCGCAGAGAAGGGCAAGAUGUUGAGAAAAUUAUAUCUGAUGACGAAAUCCUGAAUGGAAACAGGAGUAACAUCAAAGUGGUGGAUGAACUUGUACCAAACUCAGUCAGCUCAACAAGAGUGAGGGAAUGCAUUUCUAGAGGUUUGUCGAUAAAAUAUUUAACAAUGGAUGGGGU
rnacentral:misc_RNA from 1 species